CUCCAUCGUCAUCACCACUUCGCCACCACUGCGGUUGCCACCACCCUCACCCUAUUAUCACCAUCGCCACUAGCACCUGAACACCAUCAUCGCCACCACCAGCACCACUUAACCACUGUCGCCACCACUACUACCAACACUUAUUGAUGGUAAUGGUGAUAGUAGUAGUGGUAGUGGUAGUAGUAAUGGUAGUGGUAGUGGUGGUGGUGGUUGUAGUAGUAGUAGUGACAAUAUUAAUAAUUCCAAAUUGAAACAACAUCUAAUAAAAUAUUAUUACUAAUUUGAUUUCAUCCCAUCAACGUGUGUGUGUGUGUGUGUGUGU
rnacentral:misc_RNA from 1 species